UAACAGGAUCAUCUGGGCGCCAAGGGGCAGGUCUUGCUGCUGGGAGGCUGUGUCCCGCAGCCCAGAAUUGGAUCAGAGGGUGAGGAAAACAGAGUGUUAUGAAAUGUCACGACCCGGCCUGGAGGCAGAGAAGCCUCCUUGUGCCCGCGUCCUCCCUCCCCUCCUCCCUGGGACUCAAGGGUCGGCAUUCCCAGUACCGCCUUGGAGAGUAAACAGCACCGGGACCUCACGCAGAUUCCCCGGGUCAGUCCUCGGAGGCUCAAGCAGGGGAGGCAGCCCAAAACCAAGCGGAGGAGCCAGGCAUUCUUGGCGGGCGGACGGGCGCACGUGGUCAUCGUGGAAGGUCCCCCACACGCAGGGCUGCUGGCAUCCGCAGCAGGAGGACCGCAGGACAGAAACCCAUCUCCUGACAGCCGGACAGCUGUGAAGAUUUCAGAUGGUGACUUCCAGACGGAAAGAGAGGUUGUGAGGGUGCUGCCCUGAACCCACCACCAGGGGGCGCAGCUGGGCAAGCGCUGCUGUCCGUCUC